rnacentral:lncRNA from 1 species
UGGGGACAUUGUAUCGGACAUUUUAGUUUUAUCUGACAUCUCGUAUAUUAGAUUUAAUUUAUGGGAAUUUAAUACCAAAAUAGAGAUAAUUUUUUGUACUUUUAUCCAUUAUAGAUUUUUUAUGUAGCGAAUGGCACUAUAUUGAAUAAACAUCAUGAAAAAACAGAAAACAUAACCCUACGUUUAAUUUGGUUUGAAGGGGACAAAAUGUCGGACAUUGCUAUUCAACUCGAAAAAUAAGAAUUUAUUUUUAAAGUUCCUGAUUAUUGCAUGAGGCGAAAGUGUGAUCUUUGUACAAAAUACUAGUAUAAGAAUUAUUUACUUUCGACAUGGGGAUUGCUCUGGAAUUCCCUUUUUUUGGACAAUUUAACAAAAAUUACGACAACCUUUCGUGCAUGGGACACAUAAUUUGUAUCAUCUUGAUCCCCUUUUUUAUAUUUCCGUCUUUUUGAGAGAAAAAAAUCGA